GACAUGAAAUUGAAGAGUGGGGAAGAGAAAGAAAAAGAAAAAAAACCUCUUUUAGCCCAAAACUACGAAUGGUUCACCCUGGAAGAAUACCGUGCCCUUCCUUGAAGGAGAAAUUGUCCGCAAAUGCCUCGCUCGCAUCGCCCAACAGGAAUAUUUGAAAUGGAUCUGACUCAUGUUUUCCUUCAUCUGCCCUUGAUAUAGAAGUGUUCGUUUGUAGCGCAUCGCAGAACGAGCUUGCAAUUUUGGAAUUCAUACAACUUGUAGUUGAGACCAAGGACCGCCAUUUCGGCAAUGUGGCAAGUCCUCUAAUGCCAAGGAUGAUGUCUUUUUACCCCAUGUUGAUGGACUAAUACUUGGCUUGUCAUCUUUGUCGCCAAGGUUGUCUCCUGGUUUUCCUUUGUUACCCUCAGAUAGAAGGUCACCUUUUCUCUUUGUUUUAAUUUGUUUCUCUUAUCUACAAUGCGAGCUAGAAAUCAUGUUCCAUUUAGAAAAAGCUCAUGUCAUCCUGGAAGAGAUUGUCAUGAAUGGUUUGCAUUGAUGAGACAAGCAACUCUAACAUUCUGAGCCCGAUAAUUACACGGAUGGACAAAACAUCUUUAA